AACUUUCAACAACGGAUCUCUUGGCUCUUGCAUCGAUGAAGAACGCAGCGAAAUGCGAUAAGUAAUGUGAAUUGCAGAAUUCCGUGAAUCAUCAAAUCUUUGAACGCAAAUUGCACUCCUUGGUAUUCCGAGGAGUAUGCUUGUUUGAGGGUUGUU
rnacentral:rRNA from 1 species